CCUACCAGAUUCCUCGCAGGCAGCCCCUCUGCUCUCUUCCCCGGCGAACCCCUCUAAGUUCCUCGCCGGCAGCCGCUCCUAGAUUCCUCGCCGGCAGCCCCUCCCCUCCCUUCCCCGGCCACCGCCAGAGUCGGGCAAGAGUCCCUCCGCAUCUCUACUUUUGGAUCAGGCCGUGCAGGGCCAUCGGAGAUAGCAGCAGUUGCUACCAUGCCCGACCUCCAUCAUGCAGCCCUUUCUUCCUUGCUACCCAUGAAGCCUACCAACGACAGGACCAACAUGACCAUGAGUAUGCUCGAGCGAUUCAGGCGCGGAGGUUUUCUGCCGGCGCCAAGCUACUCGUUCCCAGCGGCGGCGAUGCCAAACUGCUAAUAUAGGACGAGCAGUAUGUGCGCUGUGGAUCUUUUCCAGUUUGCUUCAUGUUUGAUUAGGAGAACUGCAUGUGAUCAUUAAAGAAAAAGAAACAAGUACCAAGUCCUAAGCAACAUACAGAAAAGCGACCAAAACAAGACGAAGACAAGAGGCAACAUACAGAAAAGCAUCUGUAAUGUUUACCCCGGUUUUCCCUGUUACACUUGUAUCCAGCCGGUAUACGAGAUGCACGCCUCAGUCCGUCGUUUCUUUUCCGGACAGAAAUCAAUUGCGAUUGGUAAGAUACACCUGUAAGAUAAAUACCUCUGUAGAAUAUUACAUCGAUUCCAAGCGCAGAAGGACUUUAGGACAGAGAGGCAGCUUCGCAGGGGGGUCAACACGAGCAAGAUAAAUUAGUCAUGGAGCAGUCUUUAGUGAAGACUGAUCUAGAACUGGCAUACAUUUAUGAGUAUGUGCAAUUUUUUGGUGCGACUGAACUGGUCGUUUCUAAAAAAUAGCCAAAACUCGUUUCACUAUGCCACUACUGUUUUUGCAUAGAAUUAAUGUCUAUUUGGGUGGUGCCAAACUGCCAACAGAAGACGAGCUGUCUUCUCCUAAAAGAAUGACAAAAUUGUGUACCUGUAUGUUAUUUAGGGUCUGUAUUGCAUAUGACCUAG